UUUUCAAUUUUCCUUGAUGAAAUAUAAUCAAAGCACAUCUCUUAUAUUUUAUUUUUUAAUUUGUUUUAUAAUCGUUAGUAACUUUAUGUUUCUAUAAGUUGCAGAGAACGAUCUAAAGCAAACUUCACAAACUAGAGCUAAACAUGGAAACCAUAGUCUCCAAAUCAAUGAUUGCCGGAGUACAGAGCGUCAUGCCGGUGGAAGUCACCCAACACCGUGAAGUCCGCUCCAUAUCCGUCGGAGAUCCCGUCGGAGCUGGAAUAUUCCGGCGAACACUGAACAUAGUUACGUAUUACAAGCAUGCAGGUGAUAGUGGUGAGAGAGGGUGGUUAGUAGCCGGGUGGAUAAAGGAGUCGUUAGGGAGAGCCUUGACCGAGCAGCCAAUGGUUUGUGGUAGACUGCGGCGGAGGAGGACGACGACGGGAGAGGAAGAUGGUCUGGAGGUGGUGGCCAACGACAGUGGCGUUAGGCUGAUUGAGGCUAGGUUUCCGGCGAGUUUGGCGGAGUUUUUGAAAUGGUGAAAAGGGACAAAAGGAGAGCUGAAGUGGAGACUGUCUUCUGGAGAGACAUUGAUGAAGUUGAUCCUCAGUUCUCUCCAUUGUUCUAUGUUCAGGUUACUAAUUUUGAGAGUGGGGGAUACUCAAUUGGGAUAAGCUGCAGCAUCCUAAUAGCUGAUCUCCUCCUUGAGACAAAUUUCUUGACCAAAUGGGCUCAAUUCCAAAGCUCUUUAGCUCAUUCUCAGACCACACUCAAACCUAUCUUCUACCUUCCACCAGUCAAAAGAGACAAUUUCCUCAAUGAGCUUCCUAGGUCAGCCUCGGUUCUCGACAGCGGUGAACCCCUUGUUUUCCGUGCCAAAACAUGCUCGAAAAUGUCACCAGCCUGCAUGAAAAAAGCCGUUACCGAUCGCAAAACAGCGAGUGCAGAUGUAUUCUUGUUCGUCAAGGAACAAGGUGGUGGCGAAAAUAGUACUACUAAACGUGAUGGUAUGAAGGUAGAGAUUCAUGCGAAAGAUGAAGUGAUUAGCGAUUGUGAUUGUGUUGGGGAUUUGGAGGAGGCAGAUGCUGGAGUACUUGACGUGAGUUUAGCGUUUGAGGACAAAUCUGAAGGCCGUGCAUGUUGGGUUGGGUCUAUCUCAAAUGGGGUCGUGUUUGUCUUCCCAACUACUUUCGGAGAUACCAAGUGGCUUGUCAAAUCAGUUGUUGCCUUGCCAAAUUAAGUGACUCAUCAGUAUCAGUGUCACUAGUAUUUAUAUGUAAUAGUGUGGUUCCCAAAAUUGAAUAAUUGUGUUUAUUUUACAAGUAACUCGACGAUGCAACUAGCUAUUAUAAUAAGGUUUUGAGUAUUGAUUUGUGGUAUCUUGUGAAUGACAUAUUAAUUUGUUAA